UGCAGUCGGACGGUAGCACAGAGRAGCUUGCUCYUUGGGWGACGAGUGGSGGASGGGWGAGUAAUGUCUGGGGAUCUGCCCGAUAGAGGGGGAUAACCACUGGAAACGGUGGCUAAUACCGCAUAACGUCGCAAGACCAAAGAGGGGGACCUUCGGGCCUCUCACUAUCGGAUGAACCCAGAUGGGAUUAGCUAGUAGGCGGGGUAAUGGCCCACCUAGGCGACGAUCCCUAGCUGGUCUGAGAGGAUGACCAGCCACACUGGAACUGAGACACGGUCCAGACUCCUACGGGAGGCAGCAGUGGGGAAUAUUGCACAAUGGGCGCAAGCCUGAUGCACCCAUGCCGCGUGUAUGAAGAAGGCCUUCGGGUUGUAAAGUACUUUCAGCGGGGAGGAAGGCGAUGGGGUUAAUAACCUUAUCGAUUGACGUUACCCGCAGAAGAAGCACCGGCUAACUCCGUG
rnacentral:rRNA from 1 species